ensembl:snRNA U4 U4 spliceosomal RNA
AGCUUUGCACAGUGUCAGUAUCAUAGCCAAUGUGGUUUAUCCGAGGCGCGAUUAUUGCUAGUUGAAAACUUCCCUAAGCAACGUUUGGCAAUGUAGAAGAGGCCAUAUUGCUUCACAAUACAUUGUACCUUCUUUGUCAUAUCCUUCUUUGGAACACAUUUUCAUUU